AACGUAGGAGACAAACGUUAUCCGGAGUUACUGGGCGUAAAGGGCGUGUAGGUGGUUUCGUAAGUCUGGCGUGAAAUUUUUCGGCUUAACCGGGAAAGGUCGUCGGAUACUGCGGAGCUAGAGGACGGUAGAGGCGUGUGGAAUUCCGGGUGUAGUGGUGAAAUGCGUAGAGAUCGGGAAGAACAUCGGUGGCGAAGGCGCUCUACUGGACCACAACUGACACUCAGGGACGAAAGCUAGGGGAGCGAAUGGG
rnacentral:rRNA from 1 species